GGUAGAGUAUUUGGAACGUGUGAUUGCUAAUGAAGGAGCUUUGUCUACUAUCUUAGGCAUUAUCACUAAACAUUCUGGCAUGGCAUUCACCAAUAAUCCACUUCAAUUAACUUCAAAUAACUGUGAAGAAGGCAAGAAUGAUGAAAAUGAACCAAAAAGGAAGCGUCCAAAUGCAGCACAAUGGAUGCUUGAUGUCCUUGCACUUCCCGGAGUCAAGUAAUUCAUAGCAUAAAGAUGUUGGAAAUAUAUGUAAGUUGAUUGGUCCUCUUAAGUGAGGACCACAGGUAAACUUUAUGUUUGCUUUGUUUCUUCUCAUUGUUUCAAUGAUAAAUUUUUAAAUGUUCAAGUCUUUUAGUGUCGCUAUGAUGAACCUGGAUGAAAGUUGAAGUUAGUCAUCAUUCAUUUAAGUAAAGGAAAUAAAAAUUUUUCCCUGAAAAGAACAGAUACUACCAACUUGUGCGAUAUAUUUUAAGAAAAUAAAAAAAAAACCAAAAGUAAAGCAAGUGAUUUUCUUCAUACUAAACAUUGGACAACAAUCCAUGAAAUUUAACUAUCUUGAAAAUUAUGUUAAUAUUUUGUCUACCAUUCCCUGAACCAAUGUCUUUAGUAUAGGUCAAAUCUUUGGUGAUUAAUGUGUAUAUCAUCCACAUACCUGAAAGGUUUUUUUGAUAUUAAAAUAUACAUUUAAACUUGAAUUGAAAAA